CCUACGGGAGGCUGCAGUGGGGAAUAUUGGACAAUGGGGGCAACCCUGAUCCAGCCAUGCCGCGUGUGUGAAGAAGGCCCUCGGGUUGUAAAGCACUUUCAGUGAGGAAGAACGCCUGGUGGUUAAUACCCAUCAGGAAAGACAUCACUCACAGAAGAAGCACCGGCUAACUCCGUGCCAGCAGCCGCGGUAAUACGGAGGGUGCGAGCGUUAAUCGGAAUUACUGGGCGUAAAGCGCGCGUAGGUGGCUUGAUAAGCCGGUUGUGACAGCCCCGGGCUCAACCUGGGAACGGCAUCCGGAACUGUCAAGCUAGAGUGCAGGAGAGGAAGGUAGAAUUCCCGGUGUAGCGGUGAAAUGCGUAGAGAUCGGGAGGAAUACCAGUGGCGAAGGAGGCCUUCUGGACUGACACUGACACUGAGGUGCGAAAGCGUGGGUAGCAAACAGGAUUAGAUACCCUAGUAGUC
rnacentral:rRNA from 1 species